UACGUAGGGGGCUAGCGUUGUCCGGAAUCAUUGGGCGUAAAGCGCGUGUAGGCGGUCCGGUAAGUCCGCUGUGAAAGUCGGGGGCUCAACCCUCGAAAGCCGGUGGAUACUGUCGGGCUCGAGUACGGAAGAGGUGAGUGGAACUCCGAGUGUAGAGGUGAAAUUCGUAGAUAUUCGGAAGAACACCAGUGGCGAAGGCGGCUCACUGGUCCAGUACUGACGCUGAGGUGCGAAAGCGUGGGGAGCAAACAGG
rnacentral:rRNA from 1 species